rnacentral:rRNA from 1 species
GAUGAACGCUAGCGGCAGGCCUAACACAUGCAAGUCGAGGGAGAAGCCCUUUCGGGGGCAGAAACCGGCGCACGGGUGCGUAACGCGUAUGCAACCUACCUUUCACAGGGGGAUAGCCCGAAGAAAUUUGGAUUAAUACCCCAUAAUAUUAUUGGAUGUCAUCAUUUGAUAAUUAAAACUGCGGUGGUGAAAGAUGGGCAUGCGUCCUAUUAGCUAGUUGGAGUGGUAACGGCACCCCAAGGCUACGAUAGGUAGGGGUCCUGAGAGGGAGAUCCCCCACACUGGUACUGAGACGGGGACCAGACUCCGACGGGAGGCAGCAGUGAGGAAUAUUGGGCAAUGGUCGGAAGACUGAACCAGCCAUGCCGCGUGCAGGAAGAAUGCCUUAUGGGUUGUAAGCUGCUUUUAUAUGGGAAGAAUAAGGCGUACGUGUACGUUGAUGACGGUACCAUAUGAAUAAGCAUCGGCUAACUCCGUG